CGGGAGUAAUGUCUGGGAAACUGCCUGAUGGAGGGGGAUAACUACUGGAAACGGUAGCUAAUACCGCAUAAUGUCGCAAGACCAAAGUGGGGGACCUUCGGGCCUCAUGCCAUCAGAUGUGCCCAGAUGGGAUUAGCUAGUAGGUGGGGUAACGGCUCACCUAGGCGACGACCCCUAGCUGGCCUGAGAGGAUGACCAGCCACACUGGAACUGAGGCACGGUCCAG
rnacentral:rRNA from 1 species